AAUAAAAUAGCCUAGUGGACAUGGCAUCUGCCCGGUAAGCGGAACACUGUAGGUUCGAUUCCCAUCCCUGGACACUUUUAUUU
rnacentral:tRNA from 1 species